GUGAGGAAUAUUGGACAAUGGGCGCAAGCCUGAUCCAGCCAUGCCGCGUGCAGGAAGACGCAUCUAUGGUGUGUAAACUGCUUUUGUACGGGAAGAAACACUCCCUCGUGAGGGAGCUUGACGGUACCGUAAGAAUAAGGAUCGGCUAACUCCGUGCCAGCAGCCGCGGUAAUACGGAGGAUCCAAGCGUUAUCCGGAAUCAUUGGGUUUAAAGGGUCCGUAGGCGGUUUAAUAAGUCAGUGGUGAAAGCCCAUCGCUCAAAGAUGGAACGGCCAUUGAUACUGUUAGACUUGAAUUACAAGGAAGUAACUAGAAUAUGUAGUGUAGCGGUGAAAUGCUUAGAUAUUACAUGGAAUACCAAUUGCGAAGGCAGGUUACUACUUGUGGAUUGACGCUGAUGGACGAAAGCGUGGGGAGCGAACAGGAUUAGAAACCCUGGUAGUCC
rnacentral:rRNA from 1 species